GACGAACGCUGGCGGCGUGCCUAAUACAUGCAAGUCGAACGCAGUGGGGACGGGUGAGUAACACGUGGGUAACCUGCCAUCAGAGGGGAUAACACUUGGCAACAGGUGCUAAACUGAUACUGAUGGAUGGACUCGCGGUGCAUUAGCUAGUUGGUGAGGUAACGGCCCACCAAGGCCCAGAUGCAUAGCCGACCUGGGAGGGUGAGCGGCCACACUGGGAUGGAGACACGGCCCAGACUCCUACGGGAGGCAGCAGUAGGGAAUCUUCGGAAAUGGACGAAAGUCUGACCGAGCAACGCCGCGUGAGUGAAGAAGGUUUUCGGAUCGUAAAACUCUGUUGUUAGAGAAGCGGUAUCUAACCAGAAAGCCACGGCUAACUACGUGCCAGCAGCCGCGGUAAUUC
rnacentral:rRNA from 1 species